UCGGAUAUGGUGUAACGGCUAACAUUGCCGCCUCUCAUCACCUUGUAUCACGCGGCAGCUCGGGGUUCGAUUCCCCGUAUCCGAA